rnacentral:rRNA from 1 species
AGAGUUUGAUCCUGGCUCAGGAUGAACGCUAGCGGCAGGCCUAACACAUGCAAGUCGAGGGGCAGCACGGUGUAGCAAUACACUGGUGGCGACCGGCGCACGGGUGCGUAACGCGUAUGCAACCUACCCAUAACAGGGGGAUAACACUGAGAAAUUGGUACUAAUACCCCAUAACAUCAGGACCGGCAUCGGUUCUGGUUGAAAACUCCGGUGGUUAUGGAUGGGCAUGCGUUGUAUUAGCUGGUUGGUGAGGUAACGGCUCACCAAGGCAACGAUACAUAGGGGGACUGAGAGGUUAACCCCCCACAUUGGUACUGAGACACGGACCAAACUCCUACGGGAGGCAGCAGUGAGGAAUAUUGGUCAAUGGACGCAAGUCUGAACCAGCCAUGCCGCGUGCAGGAAGACGGCUCUAUGAGUUGUAAACUGCUUUUGUACGAGGGUAAACGCUCUUACGUGUAAGAGCCUGAAAGUAUCGUACGAAUAAGGAUCGGCUAACUCCGUGCCAGCAGCCGCGGUAAUACGGAGGAUUCAAGCGUUAUCCGGAUUUAUUGGGUUUAAAGGGUGCGUAGGCGGUUUGAUAAGUUAGAGGUGAAAUACCGGUGCUUAACACCGGAACUGCCUCUAAUACUGUUGAACUAGAGAGUAGUUGCGGUAGGCGGAAUGUAUGGUGUAGCGGUGAAAUGCUUAGAGAUCAUACAGAACACCGAUUGCGAAGGCAGCUUACCAAACUAUAUCUGACGUUGAGGCACGAAAGCGUGGGGAGCAAACAGGAUUAGAUACCCUGGUAGUCCACGCAGUAAACGAUGAUAACUCGCUGUCGGCGAUACACAGUCGGCGGCUAAGCGAAAGCGAUAAGUUAUCCACCUGGGGAGUACGUUCGCAAGAAUGAAACUCAAAGGAAUUGACGGGGGCCCGCACAAGCGGAGGAACAUGUG